UGGUCUGUCCUUUUUCAGAAAAUUAAAUGAACUAGCUCAACGGUGCAUCCUUUAGACGCGAUUAAACGAAAAACAAGAUCUCUCUACAUUUAUGCAGUGUAAAAGUUCAGAUCUGAAAGCGCAUUGUUAUAUGAUGUAAGCUACUGAAACGUUAGUAAAGAGAAGAGAAUGUACCUCGUCGGCAGCGACAGAUGGACCGGGAGAGGAAGCAUCGAGGCUCGGUCCAGGAGCUCCAGUUGGUGGAGCGGGAGGUCCAAGCAUAUCAGGUGAAGGAGCCGGAGCAUGGUGUUUCUUGGAUUUCUUGCUUUUGCUCUUGCUCUUGCUUGGAGCUGGGGCCGGAACCUCAGCAGUAGUUGGUGCCGCAACAGGAGCCAGAGGAGAGGCCGAGCUCUCUGGUGGAGUCGUCGGUGCAGCAACGGGAGGCGAUCUGGCUGGAGGAGAGCUCACAGGUACUGGAGCCGGUGGAGAACUCACCGGAGCAGCAGCCGGAGGAGAAGACGGAGCAGAUUUAGAUGGGGCUGGAACCGCCGCAGACUUCUCCGGAGCCGCAACCGGUGGUGAAGAAGUUGGUGGGGAAGUGGUAGGGGCAGCAGUUGGAGCCGGUGAUUUAGGUUUGCUAACAGGGGCAGUAGCGGGAGCAGUAGCAGGAGUAGUCGCGGCCGGCGGAGCUUUAGUAGGUGAGGCUGCCGGAGAUUGACCACCAACAGCGGUCACCACAAAACAAAUCAAAACAACUGCAAAUGCACUUCUACGAUCCAUUUCUUGAAGACAGAGGGAGAGUGAAGUAGUAACAGAAACUAAUGACAAGGAGACAACAGACUCUCAAUAAAUAUAUAAAUAAAUGAGGGAGAGAAAAUCAGAAAAAAUGAUGAUUAUAAAAAGAAAAGAAGAAAAAGUUAGGAACGUGUUUGGAUCAGAAAUAGCCGUUGGAUGAGAAGCUAUUGCGGGGCCCACCGGCAUCAAACUAUCAAACAAAGACACAUUGUAAUGUGGCGAUCAAGACUCGACACAGUCUGGAUUGGGGGCCCACACACGUGGACCAUGUAAUUUGCUGUUACAUUACCUGAUUAAGAUAAACUACACCCAAGGUCAUUAAACUAUUAAUAAAUUUACAUUUCAGUAUUUAACUUUAAAAAGUUACAAAAUAAUUAUUAAAUCAUUCAGAAGUUUUUAUUUAAUUCAUUGGGCUAUUAAAUCGCUGUUGUAUGACUUUUUUUAUUCACACGGUCUGCACCAAUCAAAGGAUCUCAUUCUCAUUCUCUUCAACAAUUUAAUUAUUUUCAUGAAAUAACUUUGAAUAUUAUGAAUUUACGAAUCAAAAUCCAAACAGUUUUCUUCUCCGAUCUCUUACAUUGACCUAGAUCUGAGGUAUGUUCUUCUCCUCGCCUAUAGGUACUAAUCUAUUGUACCAAUCGUCGAAUCAUCACUUGGAGCUCACUAACCGAACUUUAGAAAAAAAUACUUAACAAUCCAAUGACUUAAAUAAAUACUUUUGAAUAAUUCAGUGACCAUGUUGUAACUUUUCAAAGUUAAGUCACCUUAGGUGUAGUUUAUCCUACUUAAUAUUGUAAUAAAUGUUUAAUUCUAUCCCCAACCCCUAUACUCUUUGGGGUUUUGAAAUUUAGCCUUCCUACUUUUGAUUUUAAAAUUUUAGUUUCUCUUUGUUUUUAUUUAAAAGUUAAAUUCCAAUUCAUGAAAACUUGGUUAAAUUUGAAUAUAGAUCAUUUUAAUAUUCGAAGAAUUGAUCUAAAAAUAAUAAUAUAUAUUUAAAUUGAAUGGAAAUGUUAUUAAUUAAAUUUUAAUUUUUAAAUUAAGCAGGAGAGAUAUGGAAUUAAAAGGUGAUAGAUUAAAAUUUAAAAGCUGAAAGAGUACAGGGGUUGAAAAAAAUUAAACCUACAAUAACUAAUUGAAUGAAGUAGUGAGACAGCUGGAGGUAGGGAUAGUGGGGUAUUGCUGGGCAAAGAGACAAACCAAUAGGAGGCGGCCACGUAACUGGGUAAAGCUGUUACCGGUGAUAUUUUGAGAUGGGUCAUCGACUCACCGGCAAGAAACUGUAUCUCUGCAAGCAAAACUUGUCUGGAAUAACGUGACGUGUAUUAUACUUAAACACCCUAACCUUUUCUCUUUUCGUUAAAAAUUGUAAAGUGGCUAAGGCCCUUUUUUGUGUUUUUUUUAUCAUCUAUAUAUUAGAGUUUUAAAAGAAGUUUUGCAAAAUAGUUGUGUAAUUAUUUCACCUACACCCUUUGGCCUCUCUCGGUAUAUUAUUGAGAGAGUAUUUAAUUGAAUCGAAUAAAAAAAUUGAGUUAAUCGAGUUAACGAGUCUUAUUUUAUCAUUCUAAUUCAAUUUGAAUUUUUUUCAAAUUGAAUUGAGUAAAAUGAAAUUCUAGUCGAUUCGAAUGAAAUUAGUUGAGUUAAAUUAAAAUCUUGUUAUACUAUAAUUAAAUCCAUAUUAUAGCAUAUAAUUUUGAAACCAUAUAUAUUUGAAAAAAAUUUCAAAAUAAAAAUAAAAAAAAAUUUACUUUAGUAUGAUAAACUUGAAUCAUUAAUUAACUUAUUUAGGUCCCAACAUUAUUAUUUUAGAAAAUUUUUAAUUUUUUAAAUUUCUUUAUAUCUUUUUUUAGAAUUUUUUUUGAAAUUUUUAUAAUUUUUAAAAAAUAUAAAUUUGGAAUUUUUAUAAAUAUUUUGAAAUUUUAAAUUUAUUUUGAAUUAUUUUAUAUUUUUUAUUGAGAGAGAGGUCAAGUUGCUCAUUUUCAAACUUGGCAGAGGCCAAAAAAGUAUUUAUACCAAUAUGUUAUUCGAAUUAUUCGAGUUAUUUGAAUUGUAAAAUUUAACUCGAUUCGAACUCAAAACUCGAAUUACUUAUUCAAGUUUACUUGAAUAAUUUGAAUGACUCGAUUCAAUUAGCUUAAAAUUUGAUUUUUUUUUAAUCGAAUCGAAUUUUGCUCACCCCUACUGUUUUGCACAGCAUCACAAUAUAGAUUUUUCGGUUUUAGAAUAUCGCCGAUCCAUAUUCUUCUUCAAUGCUGUCGAGCUCGACCCUUCCACAAUCAUUAUCUGUACAUCAUCAUCAUACAUUAUAUGAAUAGUAGAAUAUAUUAUUGAAUUGUCAUAUAUAAUAAAUUCAUAUCUCUACAAUUUAAUCGAAGCUUCGAUUUUUAAUUGAUUUUACACUUCAUCUUCACUAAUAUGAUAUCUUUUAAGAACAUCAUAUUAAUCAGACUCAAAUAUUACAUUGAUAUCUAUAUCAUGAAUUUGACCAUUAUAGUUCACCACAACAAAGAACAUAAUGCUGAUUUUAUAUAAAAUUUCUAUAUAUAGUAUUAAUUUAAAUUAAAAAAUUUAUCAAUAUAUAACUAAUAAAACAAUAAUAUCAUUCUGCCUAAUAUAAUAUAUGAGUAUAACAUAAACAUAUUUCAUAAAUAAAAAAAACUAUGCUUAAUGUGAUGCAUUGGAUUUAUAAUAUUAAAUAAAUUAAACUUUAUUAAAUUAUUUCUAUUUUUAAUAUUUUUAAGAAUAAUAUUGAGGGGAAAUUAAAAUAGAUUCUCAAAUAUGAAAUAAAAUAUAGGAUUUAUUUUCUAAAUAUAAGGACGCAAAUUUCAUAAAUAAAUAAUAUUAUAUAAAUCAUACAAAUCCUAUUUCAAAUAAUUUUUUUUAGUUUCAUCAGUCAUUUGUUUUUAAGAUCAACAAAUUCAACCGCGUUUGUAAAAUAUAUUUUUGUAAAAAGUUAGCUUAAUAAUCAAUUUUUUGUUAUAAAAUAAAGAGAGAUGGAGAGAAUAAAUAACAAAUAAAAUAUGAAAGCAAUAGAGAAUGUAUUUUAUUAAUCAAAAUAGAUGAUUACAAUGUUUAUUUAGAGUCUCUAUUUAUAUGUAUAAGAAGUAUAAAAGAAUUAGAGAUCUAAUUCUAACUAUUAUAAUUUAAAGUACCUUGAAACUUUAUCUUCAUCAUGAUGGACAUCCAUUUAAUAAGAUAUUCAUAACACUCCCCCUUAGAUGUCCAUUGAUAGAAGAUAAUAUGCCUCAUUAAAACCUUAUUAGGAAAAACCCUGUGGAAUAAAAACCCAAUGAAGGAAAAAUAGUACACAAUCUAUAAUACGCAUAAUCUGUUGCCUCAUUAAAAACUUUACCAGGAAAACCCAAUAGGACAAAAUCUCGGUUAAGGGAAAAAUAGUGCAACACGUAUUUACUCCCCUCAUGAAAACUAUAACAACCCGUUUUUAGUGAAAUCAAAUUAGUGGUUUUGGGACCACAAAUCUGAGUUAAAAAGAAAAUUUAUUUUAAUAUUAUUGCAUGGUCCGCAUUAUGAUAGGAAUGCUAUAUGAAAAUUCUGAUAAAUUUUUUUUAUAGAUUAUGUGUUUAAUUAGAGAAAGGACCGAAUUGCAUAAAAUGUAAAAGUUGAGAUAUAGUAGCUAAAAGGAUCAAAUAGCUAUGGAUUUCAAAAUAAGAGGUCCUUAUAUGGCAAUUAGACCAUUAAAUAAAAGUUAGUAGAUAUUUUUGGUGAUUCAUCCAUGAAAAAUUAGAAAAAGAAAAUGAUGAAAUUGGAAAGUUUGAAAAAUUAAAGAUGAUAAAUAAAAUAAAUAUCAAAUAACAUCAUUUUAUAUCAUCUUCUUCCCCAAAAUUUAUAUGGAAACCCUAGGAGAGAAAAAGGAAACUAAUCAAGCUUAAUUAGGUAUGAAUUCUUGUCCCCUUUUUAGUAAUUUUUAUAUUCUUGUGAUCGAAAUAGUUUUUAGUAACAAGCGUUAAAAGUCUACUAUCUAUUUUGGGGAUUAAUUUGUAAAGUUAUCAAAGUAUCAAAGUUUUUCCAUGGAUGAAUAUGCUGAAAUUUUGAAAUUUAUGGUAGAAAAUGAAAGGUUGUUGAUAGAUAAACAACUUUUACAAAGAGAAUUUUGAUGAAAUUAUGAUUUAUGGACUAAAUUGUAAAGAUGUAAAAGUUAUGGAAAAAUUCUAAAUUUUGUGAAAUAUAUGUGCUGUAAAUGUUAUAUGAAAUUUUCGGUUAGGCUUGGAAUAAGGAUUAAUUGCCUGAAUUUCAUUUUCCGAGCCUAAGGACGAAAUUAGAAUUAAUAAAAAGUAUAGAGGUAAAAUGAUAAUUUUUCCUAGGAUAUGAAUUGAAUGUAAAUGAGUAUGAAAUGGAUUAAAUUGAUGUUAAAUUUAUUUAUAUAGAUCCAGAUAACUCAAAUUUGAAGCUAUAUCGAGGAAAAUAAAAGGUGACAGAUUAGUAGACUUUUAAAUACGAACAAGUGUCGAGGUAAGUUCGUGUAACUUAAUUAUGUAUAUUUAUAUGUUUGAAUUGCAUGUUGUACUUAUGAGAAUUCUAUAAAUGAUUAAUGUAUGAAAAUAGUCACAUGCCCAAAAUUUUUCGAUAAAUAAUAAAUUUCGUUUGAAUAAUGAAAUGCGAUGGAUACAGUAUUUUCCCGUGCUGAUUAUAGUCCUGAAUAUGUUGCAGACAUUAUAGCUCAGAAGAGCAACCUGUUAGUAGUAAUGCUUAAAAUGAGGAAUAAAGCUUAACCGAGUUCCCGCUACACUAACCCGAUCAAGAUUGGGGAUCACCUGAAAUCUAAUCCAAACAAAAUGAGUUGUGAACUCAAUGCAUAAAAGAAGGUUAAGUUUAUUCAAUUAGUGUUCAUUUAUAAAGUAGUUUCAAAAUCAGAAAUUCGGUUCGGUACAAAACUAUUUACAGUUCAGUUUCAAAACAGAUCAGUUAUAUACAUAUAUUUAUAUAUCUAAAAAUUCAUAUAUAUAUAUAUAUAUAUUGUAGAUCAGAUUUAGAUACAGAUAUUCCUAAACCCCACCUGCUACACACCAUCUCUGACCAUUUCAACACACCGUUAAGGACAUUCAAUGCCCAUCCAACCAUAUACACCACAAGUGUCUGUUUGACACGUUUACAAUAACACAACUUAGCUGCUGGAUCAUAAUGUGUCAAGUGCCAAAAUUGAAACUAUUCACAUAGUGGCCUAACCACUGAUUCAAAGUAGAUUACUUCCUUCUUCAUAACAUCCCAACCCAUGCAAAUGCAGAGUACAAUUACCCACAAUGCACUUACAAUUAUAAUAUUCAUACAUCCAUUACAGAGUAUCAGAGAGUUCUCAUUCAACCAAAUUCAGAUCAUUCAUACAAUGGGAAAAUCAUUAUCAGUCAUAAACAACAUUUACAGCCUCAAAAACGGGUUACGAACCCCUUUUAUAAUGCCACACGGUCAUGUCCUUGCCCAUGUGGCUCACACGACCUGGUCACACGCCCAUACCCUUUGCUCAUGUAGUUCUAACAUGUAAACAGAGAGUUACAUGGCUUGGACACAUAGCCGUGUCCUUGUCUGUGUGAUUCACACGGCAUGGGCACACGCCCGUGUGCUUACCCACGUAGUCCUAAGUCACAAACAGUGAGUUACACGGCUUGGACACACAGCCGUGUCCUUACCCGUGUGACUCACACGGCCUGGGCACACGCCUGUGUGCUUACCCAUGUAGUCCUAAGUCACAAAGAGUGAGUUACAUGGCCUGGACACAUGCCCAUGUCUCAUGCCCGUAUGAACCUUACACUACCAUGGCCACACAUUGACACAUGCCCGUGUGCCUUUCCUGUAUAGUUCCAAAUUGAUGAACAGUGAGUUACACAACCACCCACAAGGCCUAGACACAUGCCCGUGUGCCUGGCCGUGUGACGUCGAAAGCCAGCAUUUCCGGCUACUGAAACUUGCAAAAUUAAGGUCUCUGGUACGCACCUAUUUUUGUGUUGAUUAAGAGACAAUACGGAGAUUACUCGGAACCUAAUUAACUAUUCAGCAAUCAAUCAUUUGACUAAAUCGACUAAUUAACACAACAUUAAUACACAAUCAACUAUGUCGAAUAAUUCGACAGGAGGAAACUUCAACUACUAACGCUUACAAACAAUUCAACCGUGUUAAGUUGGCACAACACGCAAAGGGUUGCUUCUCUCUACACUCACUGUAACACCCCUAACCCGUAUCCAUCGUUGGACUAGGGUUACGGGGCAUUACCGAAAAUAUUGGAACAUUUCGUAAUCACUUUACAAUCAAAGUCAAACAUAAGCAUAAAGUCCCUACUUAGGUCAAUGAGACCAUAAACAAGCAUUAAAAAGAGGUCGGGACUAAACUAAACACACUCGUAAAUUUCAGAACUUAGAAAUUUUUUUCAAUUCUAUUGAGGUCACACGCUCGUAUGACCAGGCCGUGUGCCUUACAUGGGCACCAGACACACCCAUGUAAUCCAGUCGUGCCAAAACAGAGCAUGCACACUGACUUUUCCCCACGGCCAAUAAACACGCCCGUGUGCUAUGGCCGUGUGAUACUUAGCUAGCUACUAACUUUAGCCUACGGCCAUAUGACACGCCCGUGUGUCAAGGCCGUGUAAUUUUUAAGAGAAUACUGUUUUUCUUAUGUCCCCUGACCGUGUAGCACAAUGAAGGCUUGGUUUAAGCCAACUUGCCACCCAUUAUGAUUCAACCUACAACAAGGAAACAAACAUAUAUAUGUACAACCCAAUCAACCAUUCUUUAAGCUAAAACAUACAUCAUUCAUGCCAUAGUUGCAAAUUAACAUCACAUAUCAUAAGCCAUUAUCAAAUAUGAGUUCAAACACAAAUUAGCCAAAUCUCAUGGCUAACUAUAUACAUCACAAAACAUAAUUCACAACUACUAGCCUAUACAUGCCAUACUUCAAAUAUUUACAUUUUCAAUAGUACCAAAAUGAGAUCGAUAGUGUGGUGACGAUCCUAAACUAUCCCCGAGCCUUCAGUAGCUACGAUAUUUGUAAAACAGAUAGUAAACACACAGAGUAAGCUUUCAAAAGCUUAGUAAGCUCGUACUAAAAACAUUCAUAGUAUAUGAACAUAAAAUGAUAACCUAUGAGUAUUUGUACAAUUUCAAUCCAUAUAACUAUAUCAACUCAAUGAGAUUCAUAUACAUAACAUCAUCUACCACUUAGGCAUUAUACAUACCUGAAGCUUCCCAUACUUAUUCACUUUUGUACUUACCUCAUGUUGAAUGUUAUGAGACUUUCCAUAAGUUAUUCAUAUUUUAUACAUCAGCACACUUAGUGCUAUAAGGUUAGUUGAAGCUAAAUAUUUCCGCACACUUAGUGCCAUCUCAAAUAAUCGAGACUAAGUUGGUAUCGCACACUAAGUGCCUCAAGUAGCCGAAGCUAGUUAAAUCGCACACUUAGUGCCAAAGCUAGUUUAAAUAGCACACUUAGUUCCAAAACUUCCGUUUCAUCACCAUAUUAUCCAAUUCAAUUAUAUACAACCUAUGUAUAAUAAAGACAUCAAAACUUACUUAACAUCAUAUUUUAAGUACGAACUUACCUCGUACUCGGAAUUUGUCGACUCGGACUAUCUACUUGAUAACCUUUGACUUUCCUCGAUCUAAGUCCGAAUUCCUCUUUUCUUGAUCUAUAGGUUUUCAAAAUUAACCCUUUUAUUCACCAAUUAAUUCAAUUCAAUCUAUAAACACAUAUUUAGGGCAAUUUGCAAAAUAGCCCUUGCAUUUUCACAUUUCGACACUUUAGUCCCUAUUUCACAAAAUCACAAAAUACACAUAAUUUGUAUAUACUUAUGCUUGGUCGAAUUCUACUAGUACUCAUACUAGUCCACACAUUUCAUUUAUUUCACAUUUUAGUCCCUCAAAAUAACAUUUUCACAAAUUAGCCCAAAUUUGCUCAAAUCCAACUAAAAUCCAAAGACAAAACAUGUAAACUCAACAUCAAGCUUUCAUAUUUCACCAUUUAACAACGCAAAACUCAUGAAUUCAUCCAUGACACAUUUUUAAAUCAUCACAAAAUUAGAAAUUGAGGCAUGGGCUUUAUAGUACACUUAGCAACGAUCACAAAAAUGUAGAAAUUAUCAAAAAUCGAAGCAAAAACAUACCUCAAUCAAGGAAUACAAUGGCCGAAUCCUAGGUGUUCUUUUUCUUUUAUUUUCUUUGUAUUUUCGGUUAAGAAUGGACAUAAAAUGAUCCAUUUACAUGCAUUUGUUUUAUUAUUAUUAACAUAAAAUCUAAAUGACCAUUUUCCCUUUUAUUCAACCAUUAAAAAUUCACCUAACACAUGCCCUUUUUUGUCCAUUCAAAUCUCCAAUGGUCAAAUAACCACAUAAGGACCUUUACUUUAGAAAGCCAACUUAAAUAAGCACUUAAACAUCUAGCACACAGCUUUUACAUUUUAUGCGAUUAGGUCCUUUUUGCAAAUUAAGUACACAAACAGUUAAAUUUUCGCACGAAACUUUUACACAAAUCAAUUUACAUAUCAUAGACACAGAAAUUAAUAUUAAAAAUAUUUUUCUAACCUGGAUUUGUGGUCCCAAAACCACUAUUCUAACUAAGGUCAAAACCAGAUUGUUACACUCACGCCUAAGGGAAAAAAUGACUAGUUAACAGAUAGUUUAAGUAAAGCAAUUCAACAAUUCUCAAUUUAACAUCGUAACAAAAUCUAUCCAAAAACUCGUAGAAGUCAAAAGAUUUCAACAGAACUUACACAGAAGUCUUUCAGUAAUGUAAAGAAUUCACUAAUUCCCGAUGAUCACGUGUAGAACACACUCGACGAGAAGAAUUCAAAGAAGUAAACCAAAGAAAGAAAAGGACAAUAAACAUAUAUAAAAAAAUAAAAAGAAGAAAAAAAAUACAGAUGUUAACUAAAUUCUAAUAAAUUUUGUCUUAACCACCAGCGUACCUUUAACAACUAGAAAAAAAAUUUCUCUUAACGCAUAUGAUAGGGUUCGAAUUCGGGACCAGAUAGAUGCUUAACCAGUGAACCAGUAGGCUUAUUCUUGUCAUAAGUUCUUACAGAACUACCUUUACCCAUAUACCACAUGGAUACAGAUUGAUCUAAAAAAAUAAAACUUUUAAUGAUGGCACUCGAACUCCAGACCUUAAACAUAGAAGCAGAACACAGAACUAGAGAUACAAAAAUUAAUUACUACAAAAUCUCACAAUUAAACUCUUAAAAUUUUGGGGCGUUACAUAUACUUUAGCUAAUUGGUCAUGCAGCUGCGCUUGCAAUUGAUCUUGCAUGUCUUUUUGAAUUUGUUCUAGUGUCUCUAACCUUUGAUCCAUGGCUUUGGUUUUACCACGGGAACUAUAACGAUAUUCGGUUGGCAGAUUCUUGUUGGUUUCCAGGGUAACUGUCAUAAUUUUGAUUAAUUAGGGUUUAUUUAUGAAAUUUAAUGUAUAUGAUGAAAUGUAAUGCUAAUGAAUGAAAAAUGAAUGCAAAAAGAGGCAUUGAUUCUGAUUUAAUUCUAUUAGAACAACUUUAUUAGAAAACAAAUUUCUUUACAUAAAACGAAUAUAUUUUACAUAUACAGUCUUGCCCUAAUACUUAAAGCCUUGACUUUCCUAAGAAGCCAAGCUAAUUCUCGGCCUUGACUUGUUUUUGAUUCAUAUCUCAAGCAUAACAUGUCAGCUUGAACUGCUAGGGUUUGCAAAUGGUCGGCUACUUCUCGUACUUGAGUUAAAGCUUCGCCUAUGAUCUGAUCUUUAUCCCUGAUCUAACCUUGAGAGUGUUAAAAUUGCUCUUUCCAAUGUUCAUUGUUCGUUUCAAGAAGCUCAAUUCGAAGUUCACAAUUUUGCAGUGUGGUCUCGAGCCCUUCUAUUUUUCCCUUCAACCCUUCAAUCUGUUCUUCUAUUUUUCCCUUCAACUCUUCAAUUUAGUCAGGCUUGCUUUCAACUCGAUCACAGAGUUGCGACUAUGAUGUUGAUGCAGUGACCUUUCUAAUUCCGCUACCUGGGCUCUCAAUCCAACGUUUUCAUUUUGGCUUUCUAACAAAUCCCUUUUUAGAGCAUCUUCUCGAGCUUGAGGCUCUUGAAAUUUCUUUUCCCACUGAUCAACUUGAAUAUUUUCUUCUUAGAUUUCUUACUACCACUAUUCUGAUGUUUUACCCAACCCAACAGUCCUUAUCGACAAAUGCAGCUUCUUAUAAUCUGUUUUUAGACUGCCUAAGUCUUCCUCAGCCUUGUUCUUUCCUUUUUCUCAUUUUUUCAUCUUCUAACUUCUAGACGUCGACGUCUAAUCAUAGCUAAACCUUUUCCUCUUCCAACUUUUCUAUCCUUUUCCUUAGCUCCGAACUCUUCUUUUUGAAGUCUUGCUUUACAAUCUCUAAUUUAGACGGGAUCACUUGCAAGUGUUCUUCUAUUGGCUAGGUACUUUCUUGGCUUGUGAAGGGACAUUGUCAUUGAUUCUUUUACCCUACCACCAAUCAUAUUCUGGGGUCGUGAUGAGAUUUGAGAAAAAUCUAUUCAUUUUGUGAGUUUGGUUCCUCAUGUUCGAAAUUUCACGAACCUUCUUUGUGUACUUGUCAGCUUUGUAUGCAAACUCACAUUGACCCAACCCUUGCGUUGCUAGUAUAAACUGCCUCAACCUAUACUGUCACAAUAAAAGUAGAAGGGUAUAUCUGUCAACUCCUCAUAUCCCGAGUAAAAGGACCCAGUCAAAGUCUCCACAUCUGUACAAAAUUUCAUCAGGGAUCAUCCAAGAGACCCUCCAUUCAAUGUCUUCAUCUUAAAGACUCUGGAGAAUUGUCAUCCACUUUUUUUCAAAAAUGUUGUCUCGUCUUGGGAUAGCUACGAAUUCUUUCAAUAGAGAGUAGUCCUCGAAAAACACUCGAUAAGAGACUUUUUCUACCUUCCAAAAGUAGUUAUGGAAUCAAGCUAACAAGAUUUAUGCACACCCGAUAAAUCUUCCUUCACCAGUUUUUCGGUAUGCACUUAAAGAUUUGAAAGUUUCAGCCAAAAUUGUCGGGACGGAUAUGACCUUUUUGUCAAGCCGGUCAAAUAGAUCUGAAAUUGCAUCAUCAACGUGCCUUAGUGCUUUGGGGAAGAUAACUAACCCAUAAACACUCAAGGCAAAAACAACGACUCUUUUCCUCGCAUCUAGAUGUACCAAGAUCAAAUCUCGUAGACUUUUCCAAGAGAUGCAUUUACUAUCCUCUUUUUGUUUGAUCUAGGCCGUGACCCAUUGCUCGCUCAUCCCAGUUAUGUUCAUUAGUUUCUUUAAGAAAGUCAGGACAUUGGCAGCUCUAGAAUAAGCUUUGUCAACUUGGAUCCUCGGGCAACAGAUGUAACACCCCUUACCAAUGUCUGACGUCGGGACAGGAUAUGAGGCAUUAACGGACUUAAACGCAAACAAUCAUGCAAAGCAGGCCAUAAAAUUUCAUUCAUAUUUUAAAAAAUUCAAUCACAUACACAUGGUCCCUUAUUUGAGUUACAAAGCCCAAAACAUACUUUAAAAGGGUUCGGGACUAAACCGAGAACUUUGGAAAGCUCUAGGAAAAAGUUAGAAAUUUUUCUUAUGAAACAAGGUCAUACACCCGUGUGCCAUCAACACGCCCAUGUCUUCAAGCCGUGUAACUCUCUAUUUAUGACGUCAGUAAAUAAAUUGAACCACACGGCCAGGCCACACGCCCGUGUCACCAGGCCGUGUCCCUCACAUGGUUGAGACACACGACCGUGUCUCAUCCUGUGUAGUUAAAUCUUAGGCUAUUUUCCAAGCCUUUUUGUUACCCUUACAUGCACACACAUUUACAUGGAUCCAGUGGCAUUCAAAAUCCUCAAUUAUGAUACAAAUAUAUCAUUUACCUAUCAACAUGUAUGUGUUACACAUUCCCACAUUAAGCUAAGACUAGCCAUACCAUAGUUAUCUUUGUGCCAAUUUAUUUCAACUUAUCAUCAAACUUCCAUGUUCAAAGCAUUAUUAUUUAUCUCCAUAUUACACAUUUAAUUCAUGGUCAUAAAACAUGCAUUCAACACACAUGACAUAUUGCCAACCAUGCAUGACAAACAAACAUAAUCAUAUCUUCACAUCAUAAACAAUAAAUCAUAACUUGAUUAGCUAUACUUACAAGCCAUAAUCAAUAUGAGCCACAUCUCAUGGCCAUAUAUAGCAGCACAAAAUAGGACAAUACAUUUGGCCAAAUCAUAAUAACACAUGUCAUAGAACUAGGCCCCUCUACAUGUCACUCACUUGAUAAUUCUAACAUAUGUAACAAUAUUCCAAAGGUAUUGGCUUGAUAGUGUGAUGCUGCCUCCAAUGAUCUCCAACCCCGAGCUGACCUGACAACACUAAAAGAAAUGGAAAGGAGGGAGUAAGCUUAAAGCUUAGUAAGUCCAUAUGAAAAUAAUAAGCAAAUUAUCAACAUGAUUCCAUGGAAAUAUAAUCAUAAUUACACUUUUACUUAUUUUCUAGUCAUGUUGUUUUCUCGAGUCAUAGUUACUAAAUUAUUUAUAUCUAGAGCUACGAAACUCAAACUUAAGAUUCGUAAAUUUUACUUGAAACUAGACUCAUAUAUAUUUUCACCAAAAAAUUUCCAGAAUUUUUAGUCUAGCCAAUAAGUACAGUUUAUUCUUUAAAGUUAAACCUAUUCUGCUACUUGACAACUUCAACCUUUCUUUACUAAAAAUCUAUUAUCUCAUAGUACGGGUUUCUAUUAAUGUUCUUGUCUAUUUAUCUUGAAAAUAGACUUAUUAAGGAUUUUAAUCAUAUAAAUUAUAACUCAUAAUUAUUUUUGUAAAAUUUUUAAUGAUAUUUCCAAGUCAGAACAGGGGAUUCCAAAAUCAUUCUGACCCUGUCUCAUAAAAAUUCAAAUAUCUCAUAAUAUGAAAUUAUUUUGCUUACAUCGUUUCCUUUAUAUGAAAAUAGACUCAAAAAGAUUUAAUUUCAUAUCUUAUUCAACCUAAAUUUGAUUUCCAUGAUUUUUUGUGAUUUUUCAAAGUUACACAACUGCUGCUAUCCAAAACUAUUUUAUUACAAAUUUCACUCUUACAUAAUUUCACUUACUUCAUUCCAUCUUACCGAAAGUUAGCUCAACAAUCGAGCAAAUUGCUCAUAAAUUUCCACAAACAUAUACCUUUAUUUAUUCAUCACAUGGUCAUGUUCACAUGUAUUUUCACUUAGUCGAUUUCCCGUUGAACUCAUCGGAAUAAUAACUGAUACACGGUUGCCUGCACAUAUUACCACCCUUGUAACCGAAGCUAUCUAGUACUCAUAGUAGCUUGCACUUAGUACUACACAUGCGACCAAAAAUCUGGUCCACGUUGUAGCCUGCACUUAGUACUACACACGUGAUUGAAGUUGCCGGGUACGCAUAGUAGCCUGCACUUAGUACUACACAUUCGACCUAAUUAUCUAGUACACAUAGUAGUCUGCACUUAGUACUACACACGUGACCUAAAACCAUCUUAAACACAUAGUAGCCUGCACAUAGUACUACACAUGUGUUCUCACAAUGGAUCAUUUGUAUCAUUUCUAUUCCGAAGGUUCAACUAGGAAAUUCCUCACUUUUCAACAUUUAACAAACUCAUUCAUAGUCUAUUUCAAUUCGUAAUUUACAUCAAAUGAUCAUUCUAUAGGCAGCCACAUCUCAUAUAAUAACAAAAUAUAAUAACAUAAAAAGAAUCGAUUUAUUAUUUACAUACAAACUUACCUCGAAUGUGAGCACGGCUAUUUAUUCCGAUUUAGUCCAUAAUCUCAUUCAUUCCCAAUCUAUGCCCGAAUCUCAUUUUCCUUGAUCUAUAAUAUCACAUUUAGCUUAAUAAUUAGUCACAUUAUUCAUAUGGGUCCAAAAAUUAUAUUUUUACAAAUUUAUAUUUUGACCCCUAAACUUUCACAUAUUUUCACUUUUAACCCAAGGCUCGUAAUAUGAUUUUUUAUCCAAUUUCCUUGCAUUUUAAGCCUAUCCGAAUCAUUUUUCAUAACUAUAGCAGCCCCGAAUUUCCACUAAAUCACACUUUUAUGACAAAUUUUACAACUUUUGCAAAACAGUACUUUUUGACAAUUUCACCAAAAAUCACUUAGUAAAAGUCGUUUAUUACACACCGAGCAUUCAUUUUAUACCAUUAGACAUCAAAACACAUGCAUGUCAUCCAUGUUUAAAUUUUUUAAACACAAACCCUAGCUCAAAAUAUGGGUAGAAAUGAGUAGAUCUUGUUACAAGGAUUUCAAAAACGUAAAAAUCAUAAAAAACUGGUCUAGAACGGACUUACAAUCAAGCUUGGAAACUUGAAAAAACCUAGAUAUGUCUUCUCCAUGCAAGUUUCAGCCAUGGGGUAGAAGAUGGACAAAAAUUGGCUUUUAAUUUUGUUUUAAAUUCAUUUUAAUUACUAGAUUACCAAAAUGCCCCUAACUUAAAAAUAUUCUAUUUCACCCAUUUCAUGUCCAUUUUUGUCCAAAAAAUUAUAAAAUGGUCUAAUUACCAUUUAAGGGCCUCCAAUUUAAAAUUUCAUAAUAAUUAGACACCUCUAACAUGUAAAACUCAACUUUUUCACUUUUUACAAUUUAGUCCUUUUGACCAAAUUGAAUGCCCAAACGUAAAAAUUUUCGAACGGAAUUUUAAUGAAAUCAUCCCGUGAAAUUUUAGACCAUAAAAAUAUAAUAAAAACAAAUUUUACUGUGUCAAAUUUGUGGUCCCGAAACCACUGUUCUAACUUGGCUCUAAUUCGGGAUGUUACAACGUAACAGAGUUGUGUACUCUUCUACGGUGGGCACCAAGUCUACCUUCCCAAAAGUGAAGUAGCUAUAGGCGGGAUUUCAAUACUGGGCAAGAGCUCAGAAUAAGUGCUUAUCCACUUUGACAUCGAGUAAAUAAGGUAAAUCACCAUAUCCACGGUAGAAUAACUGCUUGAUUUCGUCAUCCUAUUGGUCCCAUAUUUCUUUCAACUUUUGAAGAUUAUUCUGAGUCACACUAAUGCGGGUGAAAUCCCAUAAUUCCGGCAUGUACCUAUCCGUCAGACUGUCACUCUUCUCUUGUUGUAUUUUCUUGGACCAUAUUCAUAUGGCUGCAUUGUCUUCCACUUUAUCAAGAAAACUUUUUUCCAUGACAAGCCUUCUAUUUAGCAACUGAACGCAAAUCAACACCCUUUUCUAUGAUGAAAAUGCAAUGCAAUCAUAGCCAAAACGAAAGAAGUCAGUACAUUUCAUACAAAGCUAGAAUACAAAACAAGAAAUAGUAAAUAGAACAUAUAUUCGGGUGACCACUAAAGGUUUGAUAUGGUCCUACCCAAAGUGGGUUCUUUAGGACUCAUUACAUGCGGUUCGGUUCUAAAGUACCUGAACGAGCAAAUUUUUCAAUCUUCACCUAUUAUAGGCUCAUACGGACCAAGUUCAGUUCAGAGGAAUACAUUUCCCUAUGGCUAUACGGAGGUGAAGACCUCACAAAGACAUAGGUACGGAUGUAUCCCGAAAGCGAUCCACUAUCUUAUAUGGAGGUGAAGACCUCAAGAAUGAAUAGCUUCUCACUCCCACCUAAGAAGGGCAAAAUGGAACAAUUAUGCCAUGUAAUGUGCGAAAAUAUACUAAGAGAAACUCGAACCAAUAAAGCAAACAUAUUAAAUCAUUAUGUAACCCAAGAUAAUAAAGACAUUAUUUACCACCAAAAUAAAAUAUAAAGAAUGAAAUACAAUGAGAGGAUCGUCAAUUUAAACCGACUUAUCAAUUUUUGACAAAAAGACCAAAAAUUAACUCGUGGCUUGACUCACUUAUUUAUCCCCAAUAGAGUCGCCAAGCUAUCGAAACCUUUUUUUUUUAAAUUGAAUUUUAUUUUAAAAAUAAAAAUAGAGUCGCCACCAAUCCUUUUUAAUUAGGUGUGAUUGGAUUAGCUCAAAACUUUAUUAUUUUAAUAAAAUGUUAGAUUUAAUAAAAUUAUUUUCGGUCUUACAAAAUCCAGGAUAUAGGUUCGGGAGUUGGUUACAUAUGAGGAAGGAUUAGCACCCUCAUAACGCCCAAAAUUAGUACCUAAUAGAUUACUUGAUAUCUUAAUGUCGAAAACUGAAAAUUUGAAAAGAAUUUAAAACACGAUCCCUCUUUGCAUAAUGUUAUUUGAUUAAGAUAUUACUUAACUAAAUUAAAUUUAAUGGAAAAGGCCUUAUCGUGAGUUAAUCGAGAAGAAAGACCAUGCCCCGUGAGUUAGGAAACGAUGCCUCGAAUUCUCAAAAACCAGAAUAAUAGCCAUUUGAUCGGUUCUUAAAUCUUGCUUUUCGUUAUUUUAAAUAGGAUAUUCGAUUACUUCGAUUUUAGGAAGAUGUGAUGCUCUGUAAGUUAGGAGCAUAACUCCUCGAAUUCCAAAAAUAAUGAACAUAGCAUCGGUUUUAAGUAUUUUCUAUACGUUAGAUAAGACGAAGGUAACUUUUAAAAUGAUAGACAAUUAAUUUAUUUAGGCAUAGUGUAAAAAAAUGAAUAAAUAUAUUUUAACAUGAUGGCAUGGUAAUUAACAAAAUAAAGCAAAAUAGUGAAGGUAAAAUAAAAUGAUAUUAGAAUAAUAAAUAAGUAAAUAAAGAGAAAAACAAAUAAAAAGGUAAAAUAAAAAUGUCAUGCUAGUGAAUAAUAAUAAUGCAACUAUAAUAAUAAUACAUCAAUUUAUAGUAAUAAUAGCGAUAAUCAUGUCACGACCAUUAUCAUAAUAAUAAUAAUAAUAAUAAUAAUAAUAAUGAUAAAAUAAAAAAGUACAUAAAAAAGGGAAUAUAAAUAACAUAAAUUUUAAAUGUUAAAAUAAAAGAUAUAGUAAAUGAAGAGGCAAAAUUAAAUAAAUGAGGGAUCAAAUUGAAACUUAAACAAAACUUAAAACAUGAAUUGUGAAAUAAACAAAGAAAAGGGAAGCGAAGGAUUAAAUUGAGAACAUAACAAAAUUUAAAGUCUAAAUUACAAGAAAAUAGAACAUAAAGGAUUAAAUUAAAAGAAAAUGGAAAAUACAGGGAUUCAGGGGGAAUUAUCCCAACCCUAUUUACAUGUGUCAUUCCCAGAAGGAUCAUCAAUGGGUUAAGAGGACCAAAUAGCAAAAGAGUAAAAUAAAAGGGCCAAAAUAGAAGUAAAAAUAAUAAGCUGUAGGACGAAAUUGAAAAAUAGCAAUGAAGCGGAAGGGGCAAAGCAGCAAUUAUACCCUCCCCUUUAAAAACACGCAGAUCCUAAGGAAAUUCAGGUCGGCCCCAAAAUGACAUCGUUUUGGGGCGUUUAGGGCCACGAUGAAACGACGUCAUUUAGGCAAUCCUAUUUACGUAAAAAAAUAUUAAAAAAUUAUUUUUAAACAGUUUUCAAGACAAAAAUUUACUUUCUCUUUUUUCUUUGAAGCUCUUCCUGUGUCCGGCCACAGGGCCGUCGGUGCUCCGCUGUGGCCAUCGGUCAUCAGCGACGGCAGCUGUCACCUCCGGUGGCUGAAGUUGUAAAAAGAAAGGCUUUUUUAUCUCCAUUUUACGGGGAACCCGAAUCUAAGGCCGAAAUCCUUAAAAUCCGGUCAAAAUCCAAAAACGCAAAAGGGACCUUUUGGUUCGCGGUCCUCCUCCGACGCAGUCUUUCGGUGAAUCCCCAAGGAUUCGACAGCUUUUCAAGCCAGAGGGGACAUCGACAACGGCGACAAAGGUGAAAAAAUGUUUCGUAUUUUAUUUAUUAUUUUUUAUAUGUAUACGAUAUAAAAAAAAACCUUUUUUAAGAACAGGAAGUUUUUAUAUCUUUUUGCUCUUCUCCUUCUCUUAUUACAAUCUGUUUAUUCGGCUUUUAUAGCCGAUUGAUUACAAAUAUUUGUAUUUGCUUUUGCUUUUCUGCUUCUGCUUCUAUUUUUGUUUUUUUCUUUCUUCUUUGCAGGUCGAGAUGGUAGUCAACGAUGAUGGUGUAAGAGUAUGCCCAAAGAUUAAUCAUAAGAUGGUUGUAAUAACAUACUUGAUUUACCAUGUUUAUUAAUAUAAUGCGUUUCCAUUAUUAUUUCAGUUUCUUUUCUGUGUGUAUAAAUAAAUUGUUUUAUAAUAAUGUCCUGAGAAUAAUAUGAUUGUUCUUAAAAGAUCCUUAGUCAAGUAUUAUUGUUGACUAGGACAACAAUAAUGCAUUAAGUCUAACAUGUAGUUGAUUGAUGAUAAAGAGUUGUCAUUGAUAUGGAGUGUCAAAAUCAAUGCAUGAAUAUGUGUGUUAGAGAACAACAUAUUGGACUGACCCACUAUGAGUAUGUUUCUUGGAUUAUUAUGUAAUUGUCACAACAUUACUCAUAGUGAUUAAUAUGUAUCUGAUCCUCAGACUUGAGAUCAUCAUUAUCCCAACAUCGUGAGUUGUAUAUUUUGAUACAGUCAAAUGUACAUCGUAACUGAUUGUUCUAUAAAGGCUGAUGUUGGAUAUACCACAAUCUAUGUAGAGGGAUAUGGUUGAUCAAUAUAGAAUAAGUCCCUCCUACAUAAUGGGAGUAAUAUCUUAGGCCACUUGAUUGAGUGAAACUAGAAAUGCAUGGCCAUGCUCAAAUAAGUUUAUAUGAGAUGUCAUACUUAUUUGUAUAUCAUAGUCUACUCAAGAUAUCAAGAAACAUGAGAUGGACUAUGCUAGUGUGAUUAUUCCAUGACUUGUGUUCAUUCCAAAGAUAAAUGACUUAAGGAUUAAUGCAUGAAAGGUAAAUCACAAAAGGUUAUGUCGAAUCAUGACUUCCUGUAACUUAGGUAGCAAUGAUGCAUUACUAGAUGCCACUCAUUGUCUGUAACAUUAGAAUUGUUCUAGUAUUACUGCUAACGUUAUAAGGGCCUACUGGGUCACACCAUAUGAUUGAGAUGAUCGGAAUAAAACAUAGUUGGUAUUGUGUUUGGUUGUCACAUGAAUUAAAUUAAUUAUAGAAUUAAUUUAAUUGGGCAAUCAAAUAUCGAACAUAUUAUAUGUACAAGGAUGUUGUAUACAUAAUGAGAACAUAAUUCUAUUAAUAUAUGAAUUUGGUUCGUAUAUAAAUUUAAAUAAAUAUAGUUUACCGAAAUCUUUGUUAUAAUUAAUGUAAUUAUAAUGUUUGGUUAAAACAUUAUUAUAUUUAUUUAUUUUAAAUUUUUUUGAAUUAGGAUUCGUUAUAAAUAUACCAAUUAAAAAGGGGAGUUAUAUAUAAAUAAAACCCGAAAACCUAGCUUGAGUGGUCUAGCGGCCAUCAAGCAAAGAAAUCUCCAAAACAGUUUUGGGGACUUCUUCCGUUCAUUGUCAAUUGGGUAGAUUACGUAGAGGUCGGCAUAUGAAAAAGUUGCGACUUGGUUCGAUAGUAGUUCUGAAUUCUUGUUGCCGAGGCGUCGCUAUCUACUCAGAUUGAAGUUUUGAUGAUUUCGAAACCAUUAUUAUAAUUUUUUUUCUUGAUUUGUUCUUCACACAUGGAUCCAUGGUUAGGAUUGCCGGAAUUUUAUUUUUCAGCUGCGCCUUGGGGGCACCAGCAUUCCAACAAAUAGGAAUCACACCCUUGCCAUUUCGGUGAAACGAUGGCAGGGGAGGCAGUCCUCAGGCGACGCAUCAACUGACGUGGCCAAGAGCAGCGGCGCAUAGGGGAUCUAGAGUUUUUUUUUUAUUUUUUGAAAAAAAAUUUAGGUUGUGAGUUUGGGCUUGUGUAACAUUGAGUUUCAGUUUGUAAUUUGGGUUAAGGUAAAUUGGGCUGUAUUUAUUUUAUUUUUGUUUUGUCUUUGUUUAAGUUUAUUUAUCUUUAUUGAGCUGGACAAAAUUGAGCUAUUACAAUAUUAAAAAUGGUUAUACACAUAUUAAAAUCUUUAAAAAUAAAAAUUAAUAUACUCGUUGGAUUCAUCCUCGAUGGUUCAGUCAUGUAAAUUUCCUUCUCGCCCACCCUUUCGCAUUUAAAACACUGAAUCAAUGACCUCAAGAAGAAGCAUAAAAUAAGGUGGUCUAAUCCCAUUCUACGGCAAGUUCGUCUUAGCGUCUAAUUCAAUUCUAGCUUCUGUAUUUCAACAAAACUAGAAUGUUGGUCUAACUUUUUUAUUGAUCACCAGUAGUCCCCGCAAGAACAUGAACCAUUCACAAAAUGGUGGAACCUAUUCCGAUCCCUCAUUACAAUUUUACGGCCGGUGAUCUUAGAAAUCAACUUGGUCACAGCAUGGCAAUCCGAACACACCCGGAGGUUUUUUACAAUCUUGAUAGGGGUCCCCGGUUGAGUGCUGAUAAGACCAUAUGCAAGCGCCAGCUUCUCACUGUGAACUUCAAGUGACUGCUCUUUUUGUUCAUCCCCUAUGUCAUGUAGUACAAUCUCUGUUUGUGGGGUGUAACCAUGAGCUUUGAGCCAACCAUUUAUUUCCUCUAACAUCUCAUAUAUUUCUUUGGUUUUUGGAUGUUUCAAAUCCCCAGCAAGGAACUCAUGAACCCUAUUGCGCACUUCAAUUGAGCUACAACCAGGCUCCUUCUGCACCCCACUGUCUUUCAUCAAGGUCCUUAUCCUCGCCACAUCUUCCCAAUCGCCUUUCGCAGCAUACAUGUUGGAAAGAAGAAUAUAAGUCCCUGAAUUAGCAAGAUUGUGGCUGACAAGAUACUCUGCUAUUUUCUCUCCCAAUUCAAGAUUACCAUGUAACCUACAUGCCCCAAGCAAAGCUCCCCACAAGAUGGGAUCGGGCUCUACCUUCAUGUUCUUCACAAGCUCAUAUGCCUCUUCUAAUCGACCAGCACGACCAAGAAGGUUUACCAUGCAUCCAUAAUGUUCGAUCUUGGGUUCGAUCUCAUACUCCUCUCUCAUUGCAUUGAAAAAACUCCAUCCCUCUUUGACCAAACCAGCGUGACUACAUGCACCCAAAACACCAAUGAAAGUAAUAUCAGUAGGGCGCAAACCAAUCCUGCACAUUUCAUGAAACAACUCCAAUGCAUCUUGGCUGAACCCGUGCAAGGCAUACCCUAUAAUCAUCGAAUUCCAUGCAACAACAUCCUUAUAAUGAAUCCUAUCGAACACUAAUCUCGCAUCCUCCAGGCUCCCACAUUUGCUAUACAUGUCAAUCAAAGCAGUAGCAACACGAACACUCACUUGAAUAUCAUUAUUUUGCAUAUAGGAAUGAAGCCAUCUGCCUGACUCUAAAGCUCCAAGCUGACCACAAGCUGAUAAAACAGUCAGUAUAGUGAUUUCAUUAGGCCUAGAUUUCGCUGCCAACAUUCGCCUGAAAAGCACCAAAGCUUCCUUAGGCAUUCCAUGUUGAGUAUACCCAUCGAUCAUCACAUUCCAACAUACCACAUCCUUCUUCACCAUUCCAUCAAACAGCAACCUUGCCUCCUUAAGCUCCCCGUGUUUCGCGUAACAAGUUAGCAUCGUGGUCAAAGAAACUAAACUCUUCUCGGGCAUUCUCUCGAACACGAGACGGGCGGACCCAACGUCACCCCCUCUCGCGUAAACAUCGACUAGACCUGUCUUUACAUACAAAUCUGAAUCAAACCCAAGUUUGAUAACUUGAGAAUGAAGCAUUUUUCCAUGUUCAAGAGAACAAGAUUUCAAUAUGGAAGAGAAAGUGAACUCGUUAGGCUGCACACCUUCAAAUAACAUUUGCGUAUAGAUAAAUAAAGCUUCUUGGGAGAGACCAUGGAGGGCGUGGGCGUUAAUGAUAGAAGUGUAGAAAAAGAUGUUGGGGUUGAGAGUUCGAUUGAAGAGAGCAAGUGAAUAGUCGAGACGGCCUCGAGAAGAGUAAGAGCGUUGAAGCUUGAAAUUUAGGAUGGGGUGUUGAUGAAGGCCGUGGCGGAGAAGAGCUGCGUGGAUUUGGAGCAAGUGAUGGAUGGAGCUGGAUUUAUCUAAAAGAAGAGCUAGCUUGUCUGGUGAUGGUGGAAAGUUGGUGACGGCGGCGAAUGAGAGAGUGCUACGGUUUAUGGAGGGUGCUGGCGGUGGAGGAGAAGUGAAAAGCAGGGCUGAGGACAUGCUUGAAUGAAGCAAAGUCUCAACAAUUCAGGCACUCACAAGCUUUUGAUAAGCAUUUUGAUUUACAGAGUAUACUCAUAGAUUUGCUUGCUUUGUACUUUUACCUUAUCCAACAUAGAUUUUAAACAAACUUGAGUCGAGUGGAACAGAAGUACCUAACAAGUUCAGAUUAUGUUUGCAUCUAAUUUUAUAUUUUAAUUUGAAAUUUUAAUCUUACGAUUUCAAAUUAUCGAAUACAUAACAUUUGAUUAUUUGAAGACUGAACGGAUAACAAGCAAAAGAUAAUUAUUUGGAUCCUUUUUUUUUUUAAUUUUUUAAUUUUAUAAACACAAUUUAAGAAUAUAUGACCAAAUCAUAAUCCAUACCAAAUAAUUGGUAGUUGUACAACUCAGACUCCAGAUCUUUGAGUCCCCAUAUUUGAGACUACAUUAUCAACAUCACAUAAGGUGGCCCAAAGAAGAAGACCACAAAGUUAAGAAGGCCCACGCUGGAAUGUUGGAGAGAAAUCCCCUAUUUCAAUGCUCAACAAAGAAUCUCGUGCACCCUAAGCUUCCAACACGAAAUUGACACCUACCACCUAUUAAGCCCUUAAUAAGAGCGUAACAUUUGGCUCUCUAGUUGUCACCAAUCAUCUUAUAAAUGGCAAGCACCUUCACCAUUUAUAACCAUCUCGUAAGUCCCCAAAUCAUAUGGUUUAUCUCUUUUCUUUCUUCAAUAUGUUUAACUUGAGCAUCAAGGUGUGAGAUGAAAGUUUUACAAUUCCCUUCUUGCAAGUUCAAGAAAGCAAUCUGAAGAGUUCGUAAGCCCUUAUAAUUGCUAGCAAAUUAUGGGAAAAGCCUUCAAUUGCACCAAUAUCUCACAGGAAACAUUAGCCAUGAGUCCUUCGCAUCGUAGGAGUCUCAGAUGUCUACAAGCUAUUUGGAAAUUCAAGAAUUGUUGGAAAAAUCUGGUUAAAAAAACAAUUUAUAUUUAUAGUGAAAGUUUAAAAAUUUUCAAAAUCGACUUGAUUUGUGAUUUUUAUAGUAAUAAACUUUUAUUAAAAAAUAAUUGUGUUUUGUGCAAGAUGGAUUCAAGUCGAUCCUGACUUUCAACUGAUGACAUUCUCUACUAUUCUUGUACUACAAAAUCCGUCGAGUGUGGGCUCAAGUAAUACGAACCAAACACAGAAUAUGAAAAAAUCAAACACAGAAUAUGAAACUUACUUUCAAUAUGAAAGUAAUUCUCUCAAUAAAAAAUCAAUAAAUAUCGUAAUUUCCAAAAAUUAAAAUUUAUUCUAAGUAAAUAAAUUACUAUUAUUAUAACACCUUAUACCUCACCCGAUCGAAGAAUCCGGAUACAAAGUAUCAUAUCUUACUAAUUGGACUAUGAAAACAACUAAGCAUUUAAAAUCAUACUUAUUUUCAAAAAUUGUCAAAAACAUUUUUACCAAAUUUUUAAGUAACUAGGCUUUUUUAAAUACUUUUUUAUUUUUAAAAUUUUUUAAUGAUUUAUUUAAUUAAACUAUAUGGAUCAAUUGAACUAGUAGAAUUAAUAGCCUGAUUGGUUCGAUUAUCGAUCUAAUUCUAAAAAUCUUGGUCAGAAUAUUUUAUAUUAAUAUACUAAUAUUUGCAAUUAUUGGAUAACGAAAUUUUAGUUGAUAGUUUCUAACUGUACCAAAAAUACCUUAUAUCAUACAAUAGUUAGCAUACAAUUUUCAACUUAAUAAAUCCAAACUACCUUAUAUCAUACUUAGCAUACAAUUUUCAACUUAAUAAAUCCAAACUACUGGACUAUACUUAGAAAAUUAGAGAUAAAAAAUUUACAAAAAUAAUUUAUUGAAAAAAAUGAAAGGGUCCCGCAAUUAUUGUUUUAUUUGCAUAGGAUUGAGAAUAUUUUAUUCAACACGAAAAUGAUCCUAAUAAUUUGAUGACUAUUCUCAUUAUCUAAAUAUUGGUCUAAUGUCAUGUGUUCAUUAUGCUUUUAAGGAUUUAAAUAACUUUUUUUUAUAAUCUCUAAUUUUUCUAAUUUUUAAUAAUAUUAUAAUUUAUUAGCUUUUUUAUUAUUUAUAAGUUUUUAUAAUAUUUCAAUAUUUUAAAUAUGCUUUAUUAAUUUUAUAAUUUUUUAUAAUUUUUAUAAAUUUUUAGGUAAACUAUCAAAAUAGUCACUUUUGUUUACCUCAUGUUAUAUUUAGUCACUUUUGUUUACUUUAGGUUAUAUUUAGUCACUUAUGUUUGAAAUGUUAUGUUUUAGUCACUUAUAUUAUUGCGUUGUAACAUUUUAGUCACUGAGCCGUUAAUUUUCGUUAACGAUGUAACAGUAAGCUGACGUGGCAUGUUAAAUUAUCAUUUCAAAUAAAAAUUUUAGGUUAACUUAUGCAAUCGGUCCCCAUAUUUUUUUCGUUUUGAGCAAUUUAAUUUUUUUCUUUUAUUUUUUUAACUUUCUUUUUUUUUUCCAUUCUCUUCUGCUUCUUCCUCUGUUUUUCUCCCUUUUCCAUUUCUUUUAACGUAGUUUUUCUAUAUUUUCUAUUUAUUAAAACUAGUCCUUAUAUUUUUAUUUUUUUAACAAUUUAAUUUUUUCGAGUAAGGUAAGCUUGUGAACUAGUUUUAACAAAUGAAAAAUAUAGAAAAACUACGUUAAAAUAAAUGAAAAAAUGAGGGAAACAGAAGGAGAAGCAGAAGAGAAUGGGAAAUUAAAAAGAAAAAAAGAAAAGUUAAAAGAACAUAAAAGAAAAAAAACUAAAUUGCUCAAAAUGAGAAAAUAUAAGAAUCAAUUGUAGAAUUUCACCUAAAAUUUUCAUUUAAAAUGAUGAUUUAACCUGCUACCUUAGCUUACUGUUACUCUGUUAAUGGCUUAGUAACUAAAAUGUUAUAACAUGAUAACGUAAGUGACUAAAAUGUAACCUAAGGCAAACAAAAGUGACUAUUUUGAUAGUUUACUCUAAUUUUUUUAUAAUUUUUAUGAUUUUUAAUAUUUUUUAUGAACAAAUAUAAGAUUAAAUUAUAAAUUAACACGUGUAACUAUUUUAUUGGCCUGUCAAUUAAUUUUAAUGGUAACAUAGUCAAAUAUAAAAGCUAAAGCUCAAUUGGUUGUAAAUUUAGUGGAUUUAAAAAAAUUAUAUUUAAAUCGAAAAAGCUCAUAGAGUAAGCACAGUCAUGACAUGAAAUCGAGUUGAAUUUAACGUAAAAGAAAUUUGUUAAAAUAUGCUCAAAGUUGUUAUAUUCUUCGUAUAUUUAUGAUUUAGUCCUCAUAUUUUUAUUUUUAAAAUUUUAGUUUCUCUAUUUUUAAGAUUUAAAAUUAUAAGUUCAAUUAUUAAUAUUAUUAAUUCUUAUGUUAAAUUUAAAUUCAUUACAAAUUUUUUAAAUGAUUACAAGUGAGUAAAUUUUUUAUUUUAAGAUAUUACAUUAAUGAAUUUAAUAGAAUAAUUUUGACGUAUUUCAUGAUAAAUAGAUUAAAACUCAAAUGUAAGAUUGGAUUUAAAAUUGAACCUUUCUACUUUAAAGAAAUUUGAUAAUUUUUAUGCUGAAGUUUAAAUUCAAUCAUUUUUGUUUGAGGUUAAAAUCAAGUUGGAAUUAAUUUUAUAAUAUUGAAUAACAACAAAGUAAAAUAAAAAAAUAAUUGAUUAAAUUUAUAAAUGAUUGGUCAGCAUAUUAAAUUCAAUUCUAUAAAUAAUUUAACUCGAUAAUAAUAAUGAAGUUAAAUUUAACUUUUCAAACUAAACUAAAGUAAAUUGCGAAGCAAAUGCUUGAUUUGCUAGCCAUUGCAUCUAUGUAGGUGGCAAAUUGUCAAAAAUAACAUAAAACUUUCACGUUAUUUUAGAAUAAUAAAUCAAUUUUUUUCUAAAUUUUUAACUUUUUUUGAAAAAAUUUAAAUUUAAUUAAAAUAUUAAAAAUUAAAAGUAAAAUUCUAAUUUAUUAUUCUCCUAUUAAAAAAUAUAAAAAAUAUAUGGAAUCGUAGUUUUAUACCCUCUUCCAUUCUCUAUAUGGUAUAUGGUAAAAAAAAAAAAAAAGCGAAGGCACUAAAGCCGAAAAAGAAAAGGCCACGAACAAUGGUGGGAAAAGCCAAAAGCACCAUCCACUAGACGCUGCCUACACCCCAACAUGCAACCGGAAGAAAAUAAGGUUCCGUUACUAUCCGAUCAAGACUCGGACGAGGAUGUAGCCUACGACUCCGGUUAAAAGGUCCACAUCGUUGGAAUCAACGAACCGGACGAUGAAGCUUCACUGGGUGUCGUCCCACCUUUUUCCUGGAAAAAGCUUUGGCUUUUCGCCGGAGCCGGUUUUUUAAUCUCAAUAGCGUUUUUGGACCCUGGGAAUUUAGAAGGCGAUCUCCAAACCGGAGCUAUAGCCUGUUACUCUUUACUGUGGCUGUUGAUGUGGGCUACGGCUAUGGGGUUGUUGGUUCAGUUGUUGGCUGCAAGGCUUGGUGUGGCGACAGGGAAACACUUGGCUGAGCUUUGUAGCGAAGAGUACCCGACUUGGGCUAGGAGGGUUUUGUGGGUGAUGGCGGAGCUGAUAUACAGGAAGUCAUUGAAAGUGCUAUUGCUAUUAAGAUUUUGAGUAAUGGUGCUUUGCCUUUGUGGGCUGGAGUUCUUAUUACAGCUAGUGAUUGGUUAGUGUUCUUGUUGAUAUUUUGAGUUAUUAUUAUUGUAGUUAGAAGUAUUUGUGUGCAUUAAAGGUUGCUUCUUUAUGAUAUAUGAUGUCUGAAUUUUCAAGGUUUUCGGUUUAUUUUCUAUGCUCACCUGGUUCUUCGUUUUCUUUGCCUUGGUACAGUUUUAUCUUCUUGUUUCUUGAAAACUAUGGAGUGAGGAAGCUGGAAGCAUUUUUUGCUGUCCUUAUUGCAACAAUGGCCGUCUCAUUUGCUUGGAUGUUCGGUGAAACAAAACCAAGUGGCACCGAGCUUCUUCACGGUGACAAACUCGGCUCCAUUGUAGCAAAUUCCAUGCUUCAUAUAUCUCAAUAAAUUUCAUUUAGUAUUGCAGUUCAUUGAUGCUCAAAUGGUUUCAUAUUUUCACAUGUGUUUUGGUUCCAAAACUCAGCUCCAAAACCAUCAAGCAGGCUGUGGGAGUUGUGGGCUGUAUUAUUAUGCCUCACAAUGUAUUCUUGCACUCUGCUUUAGUGCAAGUAACAAGAAAGGCCAGGUGCAAGAAGCUCUCAAUUAUUACUCGAUCGAGUCGACUGCUGCACUUAUAAUUUAAUUUAUAAUCAACCUGUUUGUUACCACUGUCUUUGCUAAAGCAUUUUGCAGGCCAGUAUCUUGAAGAAAAAUAUGGAGGCGGGUUACUCCCCAUUUUGUAUAUUUGGGCUAUUGGGUUGUUAGCAGCUGGACAAAGUAGCACUAUUACAGGCACUUAUGCAGGGCAGUUUAUCAUGGGAGGCUUCUUGAAGCUGAAGUUGAAAAAAUGGGUAAGAGCUUUGAUCACAAGGAGUUGUGCAAUUAUUCCUACUAUUAUAGUUGCUCUUGUUUUCGAUUCGUCUGAAGCAGCCCUCGAUACAUUGAACAAAUGGCUUAAUGUGCUUCAGUCAAUUCAGAUCCCUUUUGCUCUUAUCCCACUUCUUUGUCUAGUAUCCAAGGAACAAAUCAUGGGUGCCUUCAGAAUUGGCCAUGUACUCAAGGUAUGCUGCUAAUCGCCUUGUGUUGCGACUUGUUAAUACAUUAACCCGUCUCUACUGCCACUGACUGUGGCAUGAGCUAUAUAAAAUGCGAAAUUGGUUCAUUGAAAACGAUGUAGCGACCCUGAUAGCAGUUAGAACUUCUUACAUUCCAUCUUUUAGCAGGGGACAAUGUACAACUUUUGUUGUCUAAAAGCUACCUCUUGAGAGUUCGAGUUUCAGUACAUUUUCCAUUCAUAGACACUGUUAUACUGGAAUUCCUUGACGCCAUUGAUAUAACCUAGCUCUUUUUCUACACCCAGUCAUGAACUAAAUGCUUGUACCGUUCCAUCACGCAAACUAUCGACUCAUGCUAUUUGAUAAGUUCCACUUAUUUGGUGAUCAACAUCUUCAUACAUGCUUCAGUUCAUCAAUAUUUUCCCUAUUAAGCAUAGGAAAGGAAAUGUCAGUGAGUGAUGAUUGCCUUAUCAACACUAAAAUAAUGUGGUUACUGCAUGUAGAUCCUGUCAAAGAAGAAUUCGCCUUGUUUACGUUUUCCCCUCUCUUCUGCAGACAGUGGCAUGGAUUGUGGCAGCGCUGGUGAUCGUGAUCACCGGGUUUCUUUUACUCAAUUUCUUCUCCUCCGAAGUGAGUGGCCUAAUGUUCACAAGUAGUGUCUGCCUUUACAGGCGCAUAUCUUGCAUUUUUAGUUUACCUUGUUUCUCGAGGCUUUUCGACGUUUGAUACUCCCUAAACCGGCAUAUCGAAUCAAAGAAGUCGAUCUUAGACACCCUUGUCAAGGCAUGAUAUCAGAAAGCUCGAAACACCUUACACCUACUACCAAAUGCCAAUAUUGAUGAAAGCCUCCUAGUGGGAUUACUGUUUGAAACAACAGUGUUGUAAACAAUAUAUUUAUCAUAUCUUGCUGGAUAUAGAGGAUUGGAGUGAGUGAGACUCUAAACAAAAACAUUCUUUUCAAACAUUUCAAGGAACCAAACACUGUAGUUUUGAAAAUCUACCUUAAACUUUGUCCAAGCUGGAUAAUACGUGAACCAGCUUUUCAACAAAACAUGUAUUUCAAUUUACUGAUGCAUUUGGUUUUAUUUUAUUUUAUUUUAUUAUUAUUAUAGAAAUUUCUACUAAUAUUAGGAUUGCUUUUAACAAAUUGCUUUUUUUUUCUUCAUAUUCUUUGAUUCUAAAAUAUCUAUUUAUAUUGUGACCGCUUUCAAAAGAUUGAAACACCAACAUUUCGUAUUGCUUGUACUUGAAUAAUCUAUUCUAAAUAAAAUAUAUAUUACUCAGAAAGUAAAAUGUUAAAAUUUUGAAUUUUUUCAUAGUUUUUACAAAUGGUUUAAUAAUGAUUAAAAUUUUUUCAUUAGCAUUUUAUUUGAAUUAUUAAAAUAAUUUCUAUGUUAAUUAUUAUUUUGUAUAAUGAUGUUUUGUAUUGAUUACAUCUUGUAUAUUGAAUACGGUAAAAUUGAUUUAAUUAAAAUUUAAAUAUUUUUAAAAUUUUUUAAUAUUUAAAGUAUUAAAUAAGUUAAAAUAUUUUAAGUAUAAUGAUUUUUUUGAUCCUUCAAUUUUUAAAAAAUAAAUAUUUAACCCCAAAUAAUUUUUCGCCUCUUUUAACUUUUAAAUUUAUAUUUCUUGUCAAAUUAUCUAAAAUAAAUAAAAAGUUAACAUUGCGACGUGUCAUUCACAUGGUAAUCUAUAUGUAUGUCACGUAAAUAAAGUUAAAAAACAUUUAGCUUUUUCUUCUAUUUUAAGGAAAUUUAAUAAAAAAGACAAAAAAUUAAAUAAAUUGUUAAAAUAAAUUUUUUUAUAAAAUUAGAGAGUCAAGUCAUUAUGCCUAUAUUUUAAUAGAUUUCAUUUAGAUGGAUGAUCAGAUUGAUUCCAAUAAAGCUAAAAUCAGCCGCGAUGAUAAGAUUAAUAACUAUAGCAAUUAGAUUAAAAUUAGUGAUGAAUAAAAUGCGUAAAAUUUAUAUAUACGGGUAUUUUUAAUGAAUUUUUUUUAUUUUAUCCGAUAAAAAUGAUGUAAGGAUAUUUAGUUAUUUAUUACAUGAAGUAGGAUUACUACUUUUGGCCAAUCAUAAAAGUAUAAAAGAAAAUAAAUUCUAAAAUUCCAGUCAAAAUACCCAUAAAGAAAUUCCAAAACGACGAGAAUCUGCCAAUCUCCAACUAAGCAACGCCAGCAAAACGAUUAAAUAAAUUAAAAAAAGUAACUAAUUCCCAAAAAUUAAAAAAAAAAAAAAGAGCUUGAAAAAGGAAAAAGAAUGGCCUAAAGACCCAGCAACAGGAUAGCGAAAUCUGGGACUUAAUUAUUUUUUCUUUUUGGAAAGAUUAGUGAUAUCAAUAAACAAGAAGGAAAAAAAAACCCAAAAUUCAAAGCUGCAUUAAGGUAUUUUUUCUUUGGCUUUGGAAAUCUCUCUUUAUAUUGUUGAGUUCAAUUAUCUUUUUGGUUUUUGUAUAUGCAUUUGUGUUGUUGUUUACUUAUUUGGAGUUGGGUAUUUUUUUGAAAUAAUAGGUAAACCCAUUUGAUCUAAUUAGUUCCUUUAUGAUCAUAUUGUUUCAUGGUAUGAUUUUGAAAGGCUAAGUGGGUGUUUUGGAUAAAUUAUAUUUGAAGGACCACUGAUGGGGUUUUAGGGUUAAUUUUUAUUCAUUUAUUUAUCUGCCUUGCUGCUGGGGAAGUGCGAAAAACAGCUUAUGUUUGUUCAAUGAACCAAUUUAAUUUUUUAAUGAGUAUGACACUGAUAUGCAGGAGUGCCAAAAUCAGUAAGUUCUAAAACGAUUUGAUUAGGUUGUGACUUUACUAUUCUGUUAUUGGGAAGUUGGAAAGCAAGUAAAUUAUAAACUAAGAAAUAUAAAUGAUAUUAGAAACCAUUUCUGAUAGGUUUUGGAAGUAAUGGUUUAGGUAAAUUUGUAGCUUCAUUACAGCGCGCUUGUUUUCAUCUAGUAGCAUGUGGAACUUGACCAUGGUUCCCACGACAUUUUAUGUUUGUUUUUGUAAUUCUUGUUGAGACCUUUAUGUCCUUGAUUUGAAGCAUCAACUGAUUGAUUUGUAUAGGAUGGCUCUUUAUCCCAGUAUUCUUAUCCGGUUAUUUUGUUCUAAUAGUGUCUUUUUUCUAUUCUAAAAGGUGUGUCUGAUGUGCAGUAGGCGAAAUAUAUCCAAAUAACUAAUUGUUGAUUUCCUAGAAAUUAGGGCAGUAGUGAAGAGGGACUGCAGGUAGUACAGAAGCUUACAAAGUAUUGGAGUUAAGGCAAAUUCAUUUUAUCUAAUCUUUAGAGAAGGGUUUGGCUUGUUUUUAGUCAAGUAACUCUCUUUGGUAGUGGGUGAGUGGGGAUUGUGUUAUGUUUAAUGUGGAGAGGUCGCUGCUCUUGAUUAUUUCUUUUAGGUUUGCGUUUGUUACAUUUCAUGGAUGCUAGGAAAAUUAUCAGCAUAAUGAACUUUUUAAGGAAACUUUGCUGUAAUUGCUGUGAGUGUUUUGGAGGUAAAUAUUAUAUUUGAUGGUUUAAAUAUUUUUUUUUUUAUUUUGUUCGUGCUCUUAAUAUUUUAAGUUUCAAUCAAGCUUGAUCUAAAAUUUUGAUUCUACAGUGGGAUUACUAGUUGGCAAAAGUGAGAUUUCAAGAACCUGUCUGGUUCUUGUUAUCAAGAUAGUGUGCUACAUGGGCUAUGGUGCUGAUGUUCAAAAGGGUUUUCUUGAGUUUUAUGGAAUAAUAUGGUUUCCAAAGUAUUCGUCAUCCAUUAUUGAGAAAGGAUUUUGCUGUUAGAAUUUAUGAAACACGGUAUGUACUAUGUCCUUGUUGUAUGUGUCUUUCAGGCUUCACUUUUUUCGCCCUCCAAACUUCUGCAAAUGAGUUCAUGCAUUUUGUCCUGUAUCAGUUCGGUUAUGAAAAAACUGUUAUGUUGGCAGCAUAAGCUCUAGUUCAUUGAUAUUUUGCUUUAGGUUAAAUUGAAUUCCGAGAAAGGAAUUAUGUUGUUAAACUAAAGUAAUUAGGCCCAAAGUUUUCUCCCUGUUGUUUCACGACAAAGAUACUUGCAUCUUUUGUUUGCUUAUUAUUAUUCUUAAAGUUUUUCUCCUUCUACUCUUUCUUACGCGCGAUCUUUCUGACUUUUUUUGUUACCCAGAUCAUAUGGAGAUUUCUUUGUUAAAAGCACUUCUGGGUAACAUUUCCUCAUUUUUAAAUUUGUCAUCUUUUGAGAACAUUAACUCAGAACCAGUUCAGAAGUUUUACCAGAGAGCAGAAGAGAUACUACAGUUGUUGAAGCCAAUUCUUAGCGCAAUCAUUGAUUCAGAAAUUACUUCUGAUGAAGUGCUUAGUAAGGCAUUUGAAGGAUUGAGUCUCUCUAUAGAAGAAUUGAGAGAGCAAUUCGAGAGCUGGCAACCCCUUUUGAGUAAAGUUUACUUUGUAAGUUACUAGUUACUUGAGUUCACAUCUUCACUUAGCAAUUUUAGUCCACUUAUGACUGGAAAAGAAGUACCUAAGUUAAACAUCUAGGCAUUGGCAUUCACCUGAUAUUGUGAAGCUUUGAUCAAUUACCCGUCUGAACAUUAAUAUUUUCACAUGAGAUGCAUGUUGUAGAUUAUUGCUGUCAUUUUACAGUUAAUUCUUGUGGAUGUUUUCUGCCACUAUGGUCUAUGAACACAUUUUCUUCUAAUUUCUUAUGGUUAUUAGAACAUCAUCAUGUUUGUCCUAAGAGAUUGUUGGAAUAUAUGGCUUUUGGAAUAAGUUUAGCCCCUAAGUGCUGAUUCUUGAAUGUUCGCUCAUAUUUAGGUAGAAAGUUGCUAUAUAUGGGUGCCCUUUUAGGAAAUAAUGUUAUAGAAGAAUAUAAUUUUCUUUUAAGGUACUAUCAGUCAAUUAGUGUUGUCCUUUAGUUAAAUGCACUUGGAUAACUAUCUUCUCUUUCACUUGACCUUUAGGUUCUGCAAGUUGAGUCAUUAAUAUCGAAGAUUCGGAAUUUUAGCCUUGAUGUAUUCCAGUUCUUGAAGUCUUCCCAUCAGCAUCUGCCUGAUGAAUUGAAUUCAGCAUCUCUUGAGGUAAUUUAAAACCCAAGUUAAUUGAAGCUUUUACUUUUAUUUGAAGAUUGUACUCUUCAUCUUGUAUUUAAGUUUUAUAAAUACAGCAUAAUUAUUGUAUUCUCACAAUGAUUACCAAAAAACUGUCAUGUAUUGGAGCGUGAAUGGCAUCUAAGUAUACAGUUGUGAGAUGUGAAAAAAUAUGCAGCUUUCAUUUUGAUUUAAUUUCUGAGUUCAAAGAAUGCUAAAGGGGAUUCCACAUUUCAGGAUGUUUAACUAUUGGCAAUUGAUUGCAGCACUGCUUGCAGAAAAUUAAGCUUGUAGCAUAUGAGCAAGCAUCAUCUGUCAUCAGGGAAGCCAUACGGGAUCAAGUGGAUAGUGUUGGACCAUCCUUGGACAUAAUAGUGAAAAUUGCAGAGAACUUGAGUUUGAGGUCAAACCAGGAGAUUCUGAUAGAGGCCGUGGCCCUUGAAAAGUUGAAGGAGAAUGCUGAACAAGCUGAAAAAACUGCAGAAGCUGAGUUUAUUGAUCAAAUUAUUGCUCUUGUAAAUCGCAUGCAUGAUCGUCUUGUAUUAAUGAAACAAUCUGAGACCUGUAGCCCAGUUCCAAUACCUGCUGAUUUCUGCUGCCCCCUUUCCCUAGAGCUAAUGACUGAUCCAGUGAUUGUGGCAUCUGGCCAAACCUAUGAGCGGGCUUUCAUCAAGAACUGGAUUAGUCUUGGGUUCACUGUGUGCCCCAAGACACGGCAAACUUUGGCUCAUACCACUCUUAUACCUAAUUACACAGUAAAGGCACUAAUUGCAAAUUGGUGCGAGUCAAACAAUGUGAAGUUGCCUAAUCCCACGAAGUCCAUCAAUUUAGACCAAUCCCACCCCCUUCUUGUGCACGCAGAGUCUGGCUUGCCAAGGGAUUCAAAUAGUUUUCCUCCCCCUAGAAUCAGCCAACCAUUGUCACCUGAGUCACGGUCUAGAGGUCAAGCUGGUAAGAACCUAGUCACAUCCAGUGGACUUCAUCACAAGGGAACCUCCCCACUACAUCCUCGUUCUACCUCAGAAAGUUCCUUGCCAGCUAUAGCUGGAAAUGGAGGGGGUUUGGAUGUUGCAAGAAUAUCACUAAAGAGUGUGGAAGACAGGUCAAAGUUGGAACGAAGGUAUAGCGAUUCUGUUGGUGAACCCCCUGUGUCACCUUCUAACAAUAUUGGUCAGUCAUCUCAGAACCGCACAAGAUCUGUCUCAGCCUCUAGUGCACUUCCUAAUCCAGAUUCUCCUCUAGGAGCUGUUGGAGAUGCCAAUGAGACUUCUGAUGGUUCAACUCAUCUCGCAGCCUACAAUAGUGAUGCUUCUGGAGAGGUGAAAUCUGAUGCACAGCCUACAGUUAGCUCAGCCAUUCCACAAAGAGAACCUCAGUUUCCUCCUCGGUUGAUGGAUACACGAUCUCGAAGCCAAACAAUCUGGCGCCGGCCAUCGGAAAAAUUCAUUCCAAGAAUAGUUUCUUCUCCUGGUGUUGAGAACAGGGCUGACCUUUCUGGCAUUGAAGCCCAGGUGAAGAAGUUAGUGGAGGACUUGAAGUGCACUUCAGUUGAUACUCAAAGAGAGGCCACAGCUCAACUCAGGUUACUUGCUAAGCACAAUAUGGAUAAUCGGAUUAUAAUAGCGAACUGUGGGGCCAUUGUCUUGUUAGUUGAUUUGCUUCAUUCACCGGAUACGAAGACUCAAGAAAAUGCUGUUACAGCACUUCUUAACUUGUCAAUUAAUGAUAACAACAAAACAGCAAUCGCUGAUGCCGAUGCAAUUGAGCCUCUGAUUCAUGUCCUUGAGACAGGAAGCCCUGAAGCUAAAGAAAACUCAGCUGCCACUCUCUUCAGCCUUUCAGUCAUUGAGGAUAACAAAGUCAAGAUUGGAAGGUCUGGGGCAAUCAAGCCUCUUGUUGAUUUAUUGGGGAAUGGUACUCCUAGGGGAAAGAAAGAUGCAGCUACCGCUUUGUUUAAUCUGUCAAUAUUUCAUGAAAACAAGGCUCGAAUUGUGCAAGCCGGUGCUGUAAGACACCUUGUGGACUUGAUGGACCCAGCAGCUGGAAUGGUUGAUAAGGCAGUUGCUGUUUUGGCUAAUCUUGCUACAAUUCCUGAAGGGAGGAAUGCUAUUGGGCAGGAGGGUGGGAUUCCUGUGCUGGUCGAGGUUGUUGAGUUGGGCUCAGCGAGAGGAAAGGAAAAUUCUGCUGCUGCCCUUUUACAACUCUGCACAACCAGUGGUAGAUUUUGCAAUAUGGUUCUCCAAGAAGGAGCUGUUCCACCACUAGUGGCAUUGUCCCAGACCGGCACCCCAAGAGGUAAAGAGAAGGUAAUAGUUAUGCUGUUCUUUUUUCUUUUAUUUCUCACUAAACCUUUCUUCUUUACCGUUAUUUAAGCAUGAGUUGAUCACAGGCACAGGCACUUCUGAGCUACUUCAGGAACCAACGACAUGGUAGUGCUGGAAGAGGCUGAAAGUAGGCAUUGGGUCUAAAUACAGUUUGUAUACAUUUGAUGCUUCAAAUAAUGCAUUUUGAAGGUUUGCUGCUUGGGCUUACAUUUUAUACAGGGUUUUGUUGUAGAGAAAAAGAGAUUUUAUUUGUAGAGUCCUCUUGUGAAGUGCUUCUGAUACGUGGCAAUUGUGAAAUGUAAGAAGUUUCCUACAUGUGAGUCCGUCUGGUGUUUGCAGCCGGGGGAGAAGACGAUAGGAACCAAUGAAUAACGUCUGUCCUGGUUUAUCCCAUGUGCCUAAUUAUUUUUCGCUCGAAACUGUUCUUUCAGAUUAAACUAAAUAAUCAGAUUGAUUUGUAAGAUAUGCAUUUGCUGCCAUUUUAAGCUUUUCUGUACUUUCAUUGGAACAUUGUCUAACCAAACAACUCCUUUUUUCCCUGUAAUGGUUCAUAAGCUAUAUAUGAUCGUUUCAGUUUUGUUACUUUGACAAUGUUUAACCUGCACAAACGAUCUUGAGAUUCAUUAGCAUUGGUAUUAGUAAAAUAAAUUGUGAUUUUAUUAUAUAAUCGAAAAAGUUAAAGACAGAAAAUGGGUAAAUGAAGGGGAAAAAACAAGAAUAGUGGAAAUUACAGAGGAAAAAAAAAAACUAGAGUUUCCGCCUCUCAGUACACCAGCCAAAGAAUUACAACGCAAAAUGUGGAAUGUGAUCAAAACCAAUCUAGAAGCUCAAAGCAAUGGCUGCCCAUCCCAACGCCAACCCUCCAAUUAUCUUCUUCAUGUUCUUCAUUGCCUCUGCUCCACUCUGCAUUUGUUUACAAUAACUCUUUAAAUUUUACAGAUAAAUAUAGUUUUAAGAUGAAAAAAAAGAUCCGUUGGUCUGUCCUUUUUCAGAAAAUUAAAUGAACUAGCUCAACGGUGCAUCCUUUAGACGCGAUUAAACGAAAAACAAGAUCUCUCUACAUUUAUGCAGUGUAAAAGUUCAGAUCUGAAAGCGCAUUGUUAUAUGAUGUAAGCUACUGAAACGUUAGUAAAGAGAAGAGAAUGUACCUCGUCGGCAGCGACAGAUGGACCGGGAGAGGAAGCAUCGAGGCUCGGUCCAGGAGCUCCAGUUGGUGGAGCGGGAGGUCCAAGCAUAUCAGGUGAAGGAGCCGGAGCAUGGUGUUUCUUGGAUUUCUUGCUUUUGCUCUUGCUUGGAGCUGGGGCCGGAACCUCAGCAGUAGUUGGUGCCGCAACAGGAGCCGGAGGAGAGGCCGAGCUCUCUGGUGGAGUCGUCGGUGCAGCAACGGGAGGCGAUCUGGCUGGAGGAGAGCUCACAGGUACUGGAGCCGGUGGAGAACUCACCGGAGCAGCAGCCGGAGGAGAAGACGGAGCAGAUUUAGAUGGGGCUGGAACCGCCGCAGACUUCUCCGGAGCCGCAACCGGUGGUGAAGAAGUUGGUGGGGAAGUGGUAGGGGCAGCAGUUGGAGCCGGUGAUUUAGGUUUGCUAACAGGGGCAGUAGCGGGAGCAGUAGCAGGAGUAGUCGCGGCCGGCGGAGCUUUAGUAGGUGAGGCUGCCGGAGAUUGACCACCAACAGCGGUCACCACAAAACAAAUCAAAACAACUGCAAAUGCACUUCUACGAUCCAUUUCUUGAAGACAGAGGGAGAGUGAAGUAGUAACAGAAACUAAUGACAAGGAGACAACAGACUCUCA
rnacentral:lncRNA from 1 species